rnacentral:rRNA from 1 species
AUGAUUGCCAAAAAUGGUGGUGUCAUGUACCAAAUUCAGACUGAAGGGGCACUUGUUGCAACGAUGAUGUUAAUUCAGCAAAUGACUCUGGGAACUGAAUUGCAGGACUAUUGCCACCGGCAAAUUAAAAGGAAGGAGAUGGGCAGGUCUACGACCAGCAGAGAGAAAGUGACUUACUAUGGCCUGAGCAAGAAGACCACAUUCUGCACCAUUUUCCGGCGACAGGGCACGAAGGGACUAUGUGCCCAGACUGCGGAGAUGUACCAAAGCAGGCUAGGAGACGUGCUCGAUGCAAGAACUGUGGAGUCAAAGUUCACUGCCGGAACAAUUGCAACAAUGCAGCGGAGCUACGUCUGA